AAUCGAGCGGCGCGGUUAUGGUGGGUGUGGCUGGAAGGAGGCGCGGCGAGGCCUCCGCCCGCCUCCCUCGAGUUUCUCAGGCGAAGAUCCCCGCAGGGCUGGUGGACACGCGCGUGGGUGAAGGGAGAGGCGUGGCCAGUGUCACAGCGGUACGGAGGACUCUUUGGAAGUUCCUAAAGAGCCGUCGAUAUCUCUGCUGCCCAGUGGUCUUAAGUGACCUAAGUUGUCCUGUAGGGACAACAAACAAGAGAAGCAUGGACUGACCAACACGGGGGGAUUACAAACUCCCUGGUUGGUCAGGAGAAGCUCCUCAAACUGAAUGGCAGAGAAAGUGACCCUAGAAGUUGCUAAGAAGCUGGGGCGGCCGCAAUGGAAGAAACCAUAAGAAGACAGCGUGUGUCAUCGAGGCAGCCAGCAGUGGAGAAGAGCACUGCCAUAUCCUGCAAGACAUCCGUUAAGAUUUGCUGAAGCUUUAUGAAAAGCAAAGAUGACAAGUGACUCACAGCUGUUUGCCCCAGUAACUAUAAAUCAAAAAGAUGCAAUUGGCUUGGCUUAAAGCAAGUGUUUGGAACAACAGAAGUACUGGAAGUAUAAUACCUAAACUCCAAGCAUUUAGUAUUUGUACAGUAUAAUCAGUGUAAAUAAAUAAUGGAAACUAA